UAUUGAAUGAGUACUAGCCUUGUCUUUUGUAUACUACAGGUAUUAUUAAAAUUCUUCUCGGGUUAUAUACGUCCAGUAUAACCAGAUGUUUUAUUAAUUUUACAUGUAAAAUAUUCAUGGGUUGUUGCUGUAGUAAUGUAGGUCCAAGUGGCCACCUGGUGUUUAGUACAACACAUCACCCAGGGAUUAAUUUAUCAGAUGAUAGAAGAACUGUCGAAUGGAAAAGUGCUGCCGAUGUCACGGGUUCCUGUUUUUCUUGUCGUCAAAUUCAACCCUAUGAGGAUGUUAUAAUUCAAUUUUGUGGAACCGGUUAUGUCGAUGUUGGCGUGACAGAGACGAACCCAUCCUCUAAAGAAACGCCGAUAUUCUGUUAUUUGUGCGGCCGGGUUUUAUAUUUUGACCCUUGUGUUGUCAAAUUCCAUAUAACAAACACUGGAACUAUAGUACUAUAUGAAAACAACAUUGAAAAGAAUGAGAAAAUUGUAUUAAAAUCAAGAGAGCAUUGGUUAAUGAUAAAGCUAGGCUGUGGUGACAUAAAAGUUACUAUUAAAGACCCGAAGAAACAUGUAGAUAACUAGAAAUAAGUCGACCUCGUCUGAUGAUAUUUUAAUGAAUACAUAUUGAUUCAAACUAGGGUUCACGUGUAAAUAUUUAAUAAAUAAAUCAAAAUUAUCUAAUUCAGGAAUUAAAUAUUUUCAAAUAAUGCAAUUUUAUUUAAUCUAAUGGGCAUCAGGAGACGAAUAUUUUCCAUUUACAAAUUUCUACUUGUAAACCAGCUGCAGUUAGUGUAUUCAUUUGGAAUCAAUUGUUACUGUAAAUAUCACGGAGGGACGAUUUACCCAAUACUACCCAAUUUCACCACAUACUACCCAAUACUACAACAUAAUGGUGCCAAAUGAGCAUAUUACUUGAUUUUUUUUCAAAAAUAGUGAGAUAUAUCGUCGGAAAUGUACUUCAAAUAUGGCUGUUCCAUUUGCCUCCCUAUAUCACCCAAAUCAAGCAAAUAAUAACCCAAUACGACCAAAUACUUAUCAAAUACUACUAAAUACUACCAAAUAUCAUGGGUAGUAUGUGGUGAUAUUGAGGUGGUAUUAGGUUGGUAUUGGGUACGGAAUUGGGUAGUAUUGGGUAAAUCGUCCCACCCUAAAUAUCAGGUCCCGGACAAGUAAUUCUCCCGCACCGACUUCAAUGUUAAAUCCCAAUCUGUUUCACAGAGGAUUACGAAAGUGUUGUUAAAUCCAUGACAUUUCUUGACCUAUAACAAUUUUUUGAAAAUUUUUAUAACGUCAAUGAGCCCAAUGUCGCAAGGGAAAAUUGCUGUAAAUUAUAGAGGAACCAUCAUGAAAUGGAGGGGAGAGAGAGAGGGGUGUGUGGUUUAGCACAACUAUAAAACUAUAGUCAAUAUAGCACCCUAACAGUUUCUUGUACUUUAACUUGCUCCACACAUUUAAAUAUCUCAAAAUUAAGGCAUGCACCAAAUGCAACAUAUUGUGUAGUAUAUACAGCUGUAGUUAUUUAUAUCCACCUGUGGUCACAAUCAGUCGGGAAUCAUUUCGCAAUUCAAUGUCGCGUGUUUUGCAUUCAUUUUAUUUCUCACUAUUAAAGUAAGCAAUGCUUUCAUAAACUGACUAUUUUACGAAUAUGGAAAUUUAAAAUGUAACUCUGCUCCCAAUGUUUAAUGAUAUCAAAUAAAUGUAUAUUCUUA